CACUGCAUUGCAAUGGUAACAAUAUACACAAAUACACCUCUACGUGCACACAUACACUCUAUACAAAACGUGCUUACAUUCAAAUGUACAAACACUGCUCACAAAUACAACCCUUCAAAGAUGGUAGAUCCCAAGCUGGCAUAGCAUUGCUGGACUUGUAUGACAGAUGGUAUCUCUUUUCUUCACUCUACAGGGGAGGCCUGAAAGAAAAUUCUUGCACCAGGGCACUUUCUACAUUAGUUCCACUGCUGGUUUGGGG